rnacentral:snRNA from 1 species
UUAUUUUCCAUGAGUACAUACACUAAAAUUGGAACGAUACAGAGAAGAUAAGCAUGGUCCCUGCGCAAGGAUGACAGCAAAUUCGUGAAGCGUUCCAUAUUUUA